GAGACGAGUAGGGCCACAGGGAGUGCGGCGAGGAGGCCGAGCAGGUUGCCGUAGAUAGUGAUCUGGAUACAAUCAUCCUGUAAUAGAGAGUUGGUUAGUGGUAGAGGCAAUGGUCCUACAUACUUUUCUCUUAAUUUGAAAAAAAUCAUCAUCCUCUCCAUCGCUGCCCUCCAUUUCCGUCGCUGCCACCACCCUCUGCCACUUCCUCUCUGCCUCCCUCCUCUUCCACAACUGUCCAACUGUGGAGGAGGAGAUGAAGAGGGAAGAGUCAAAUAGGAAGGAGCCAUAGCAACGGCAAGGGCUGCGAUGGCACCGAGGGAUGGGGUAGGUCGGGAGGCUCAUGACAGGGGUCUCCGAUUUGGAAGGUGGGGACGCCGCGAAAAAAAAAUGAAAUCCUAGGAAAAAAUAGAAAAAAAGCCAGGGAAAGCAUCGAAAAAAUCGAUGAAAACAAAAGAAAUACCAAAAAAUUAAAAGGCAAGACCUUCUUCCUAUAGAUUCUUUUUUUUUUGAACCAUUUUUUUCUUCCUUUUUACUUCU
rnacentral:lncRNA from 1 species